rnacentral:rRNA from 1 species
GCAUUAGCUAGUCGGCGGGGUAACGGCCCACCGAGGCGACGAUGCGUAGGGGUUCUGAGAGGAAGGUCCCCCACACUGGUACUGAGACACGGACCAGACUCCUACGGGAGGCAGCAGUGAGGAAUAUUGGUCAAUGGCCGGGAGGCUGAACCAGCCAAGUCGCGUGAGGGAAGACGGCCCUACGGGUUGUAAACCUCUUUUGUCAGGGAGCAAGAGGCGGGUCGAGACCUGCUGUGAGAGUACCUGAAGAAAAAGCAUCGGCUAACUCCGUGCCAGCAGCCGCGGUAAUACGGAGGAUGCGAGCGUUAUCCGGAUUUAUUGGGUUUAAAGGGUGCGCAGGCGGAGGCACAAGUCAGCGGUAAAAUCGCGGGGCUCAACCCCGCUCCGCCGUUGAAACUGUGUCCCUUGAGUGCGCGAAGGGUAGGCGGAAUGCGUGGUGUAGCGGUGAAAUGCAUAGAUAUCACGCAGAACUCCGAUCGCGAAGGCAGCCUACCGGCGCGCAACUGACGCUCAUGCACGAAAGCGUGGGUAUCGAACAGGAUUAGAUACCCUGGUAGUCCACGCAGUAAACGAUGAAUGCUAUCUGUCCGGCCGGAAUGACGGCUGGGUGGC